rnacentral:rRNA from 1 species
CCUGUAAGUCGAACGGCAGCGGGCCUUCGGGUGCCGGCGAGUGGCGAACGGGUGAGUAAUGCAUCGGAACGUGCCAUUGAGUGGGGGAUAACGUAGCGAAAGUUGCGCUAAUACCGCAUAUUCUGUGAGCAGGAAAGCAGGGGACCGCAAGGCCUUGCGCUCUUUGAGCGGCCGAUGUCAGAUAGCUAGUUGGUGAGGUAAAGGCUUACCAAGGCGACGAUCUGUAGCGGGUCUGAGAGGAUGAUCCGCCACACUGGAACUGAGACACGGUCCAGACUCCUACGGGAGGCAGCAGUGGGGAAUAUUGCGCAAUGGGGGAAACCCUGACGCAGCGACGCCGUGUGAGGGAAGAAGGCUUUCGGGUCGUAAACCUCUGUCGGGAGGGAAGAACCUUCCAGGUCUGAAUAAGCCCUGGAACUGACGGUACCUCCAAAGGAAGCACCGGCUAACUCCGUGCCAGCAGCCGCGGUAAUACGGAGGGUGCAAGCGUUAAUCGGAAUCACUGGGCGUAAAGCGCGCGUAGGCCGCCUUCUAAGUCGGACGUGAAAGCCCUCGGCUCAACCGAGGAACUGCGUUCGAAACUGGGAGGCUUGAGUCCUGGAGAGGGUGGCGGAAUUCCGGGUGUAGGAGUGAAAUCCGUAGAUAUUCGGAGGAACACUGGUGGCGAAGGCGGCCACCUGGACAGGUACUGACGCUGAGGCGCGAAAGCGUGCGGGAGCAAACAGGAUUAGAUACCCUGGUAGUCCACGCUGUAAACGAUGGAUGCUAGGUGUCGGGGAGCGAUCCUCGGUGCCGCAGUUAACGCAUUAAGCAUCCCGCCUGGGGAGUACGGUCGCAAGGGCUGAAACUUCAAAGGGAAUAGACGGGGGCUCUGCACAAGCCGGGUGGGAGUUAUGUGGG